rnacentral:rRNA from 1 species
UGCGUAGGCGGUUGUUUAAGUCUGACGUGAAAUCUCCGGGCCUAACCCGGAAACUGCGUUGGAUACUAUUCGACUAGAGGAAUGGAGGGGAGACUGGAAUACUUGGUGUAGCAGUGAAAUGCGUAGAUAUCAAGUGGAACACCAGUGGCGAAGGCGAGUCUCUGGACAUUUCCUGACGCUGAGGCACGAAAGCCAGGGGAGCAAAC